rfam:Triticum aestivum genome assembly, contig: Triticum_aestivum_CS42_TGACv1_scaffold_602660_7DL
AUACCUUUCUCGGCCUCUUAGCUAAGAUCAAGUGUAGUAUCUGUUCUUAUCAGUUUAAUAUCUGAUACAUGAAUCUACGGAUUCAUGAGAUAUUAAGUUAUUUUUUUGUGAGGAGGGCUCGUUAUAGUGGCUUGCUAUUGAGCCCUGAGCGUCGUCUGGGUGUUGCACUAUAGCCCUGGACUGAUGCACCCCAA